UUCUCUCAUUCUCAGACUCCACAUCUUCUAUUUCACCUCCCACCUCCCACCUCCACCCAAAAAGGAAAAAAAUAGUUUCAAAACUUGCUCUUUUUCAACCAAUUUCUUUGUCCUUCUAUUAAUUUUUCCUCUGUUGAAGCCUAUACACUAAACUUGUAAUAAUUUCCAUGUCCAUUUUACCAACUUCUCUUUCUGAAAUUUGCGUUACCCUUUUCAGGUUAUUAACUAUGUCCAUAGCUGAUCCCUGGCCUUUCUCUUAAAAAAAAAACCCAGUAUAAAAUUACUCCUUUCCUUAUAGUAAAUAUUUUUUUCUUUCUUAUAGUAAUUAUUUUUU
rnacentral:lncRNA from 1 species